CCUUUCAUGAGCUUGUAGGAGGGGUGCUACAUUUUGUUUCAGGAAGGUGGAUUGUGGUAGAUACGUUACUAUCUUGGGAC
rnacentral:misc_RNA from 1 species